AUUGAACGCUGGCGGCAUGCCUAACACAUGCAAGUCGAACGGCAGCACAGCAGUAGCAAUACUGUGGGUGGCGAGUGGCGGACGGGUGAGGAAUACGUCGGAAUCUGCCCAGUCGUGGGGGAUAACUAGCCGAAAGGUUAGCUAAUACCGCAUACGACCGAGAGGUGAAAGCGGGGGACCGCAAGGCCUCGCGCGAUUGGAUGAGCCGACGUCGGAUUAGCUAGUUGGCGGGGUAAAGGCCCACCAAGGCGACGAUCCGUAGCUGGUCUGAGAGGAUGAUCAGCCACACUGGAACUGGGACACGGUCCAGACUCCUACGGGAGGCAGCAGUGGGGAAUAUUGGACAAUGGGAGCAAUCCUGAUCCAGCAAUGCCGCGUGUGGGAUGACGGGGGCUUUGGCCUUGUAAACCACUGUCGGACGGGACGAGAAGAGGUAAGAACCUCUGGGACGGUACCGUCAAAGGAAGGAUCGGCUAACUACGUGCCAGCAGCCGC
rnacentral:rRNA from 1 species